AUGGAGCCCUGGGAGGUUAUAAACAGCGAUGGAGAUGGACCAUAUGCCGUUAGAACCCUGUUGGGAUGGGUUGUAAGUGGACCACUCCAAGGAAGCAAGGAUAAUAGGAACAAGAUUGAAUGUCCAGAUGAUUCUGUUAACAGGAUUUCUGUAAGCAAAUUGGAGGAGAUGCUCAAUAAAAAAUAUAAUCAUGAAUUUAAUGAGAAUGCUGCUGAAAAAAAGGAAAUUUCAAGAGAAGAGCAUGCAUUUAUGGAAAAGGUAAGCAAGUCAAUUGAGCUUCAAGAUGGACAUUACAAAUUGAAUCUUCCUUUCAGGAUGGAAAACCGCAUGUUGCCAAAUAACCUUUGUGUGGCUAAACAGCGCUUAAUUGGACUGAAAAGGAAAUUUGAAAUAAAUAAAGCUUUCCAUCAAGAAUAUAAAGAUUUUAUGGAUGAGGUACUGAAGCAAGGUUAUGUUGAAAAGGUACCAUUGCAUCCGUUAAAACAGGAUGAAGGGAAAGUUUGGUAUAUCCCUCACCAUGGAGUUUAUCACCCCAAGAAAGGAACAUUAAGAGUGGUAUUUGAUUGUGGAGCUGCCUUCAAAGGUACAUCACUAAAUGAUCAACUUCUACAGGGUCCUAAUUUGACAAAUUCACUGUUAGGAGUUCUGGUGAGAUUUCGACAAGAGCCAAUUGCAUUUAUGGCUGAUGUAAAGGCAAUGUUUCACCAGGUCAAAAUUGCAGCAGAGGAUACUGAUUUUCUUUAUUUCCUAUGGUGGCAAGAUGGUGACAUAAACCAAGAACCUGUGGAAUACAGGAUGAAUGUACAUUUGUUUGGAGCCGUGUCAUAUCCAAGUUGUGCUUGCUAUGCUCUACGCAGAACUGCUGAAGACAAUAAAGCUGACUUGCUGGAAAAGGUAAUUGACACAAUUCACCCAAACUUUUACAUGGAUGAUUGUCUGAAAAUUGUAGCUUCAGAGGAAGAAGCCAUCCUGAAGAUUAAAGAUCUCACAGCUGUUUGUUUAACAGGAGGCUUCCAGUUAACAAAAUGGGUUAGUAAUAGCCGUGCUGUGCUGCAAACUGUACCUGAAGAACAUAGAGCCCAUGGGAUAAAAAUGAUGGACCUGGACAAAGAUCAACUACCAAUGGAAAGAGCUCUUGGUUUGUGGUGGUGUGUUGAAUCAGAUACUUUCAAGUUGAAAAUAACUAUCAAAGAUCAUCCUUGUACCAGGCGUGGUGUUUUGUCAACAGUAUGCGCUGUAUAUGACCCUUUAGGAUUUUUGGCACCAUUCACUCUCACAGCAAAAAUUCUUCUGCAGGAGCUUCGUAGGACAAGAUGUGGAUGGGAUGAAUCACUACCCUCAAAUCUCCAAAGACAAUGGUCUUCAUAA
ensembl:lncRNA